UACGUAGGGAGCAAGCGUUGACCGGAAUCAUUGGGCGUAAAGCGCGCGUAGGCGGCCCUGUAAGUCCGUUGUGAAAGUCAAAGGCUCAACCUUUGAAUGCCGAUGGAUACUGCAGGGCUAGAGUCCGGAAGAGGCGAGUGGAAUUCCUGGUGUAGCGGUGGAAUGCGCAGAUAUCAGGAGGAACACCGACGGCGAAGGCAGCUCGCUGGGACGAUACUGACGCUAAGGCGCGAAAGCGUGGGGAGCAAACAGG
rnacentral:rRNA from 1 species